AUGGCGAACCCGUCGCUACCGUGCCUCGUCUUCGAGUACGGCGACAAGCGGCCGACGAUGCUGUACGGCGCCGCCGACGGCGCACGCCGCCCCUGCGAGAUCGACGUGCUCCUGACCAAGCAGAACUGGGUCAGCGCCCAUGGGUGGGUGCUCGCCCGUGACCCGGACACCUCGGCAACCUUCCUGUGGGACCCGCGGGACCCCGAGCACGGCCGGGUCGCUCUUCCGUCCUUGGCACAAGCUCCGGCAAUGGGCUCCGACUGCGUGCUGUCCGGCGAUCCCACCGGCCCGGACGGCUGCACCGUGGUCCUAACCGAGCCAGAUGAAAGCGUCCUGUGGUACUGCCACGUCGGUUCGACGGCGCCGAAGUGGGCGCGGCACGAGUAUGAUCUUGGGGGCAGGCUGGUGGUGAUCAAAGAAUUCCGUUGCUGGCAAAAGGGGCACAUCUUGGGCCUGACACCGUACGAUGGCAAGUUUUACUACCCAAUCCACCAUAGCAAGUACGGUGUGCUUGAGUUCUCGCCGGAGCCGAGGUUGAGCACUGUGAAAACGAAGGGGAUCAAACUUACCUUCCCUCCGAACGAUGAAGACUGUGCGCAUUCGUAUUACUUUCUCUUGGACCUUGAUGGCAAACUUCACAUGGUGUCUAUCUUCUUUUUGGGCUUCGAUAUGCACACAAUCAUCGAUGUUGCCGUGUACAAGAUGGGUUUUGGCAGAUCAAGAAGUGUCAGGGUGAACAACAUCGGCGGUCGGGCAAUACUUGCGAGUAUUAUGAGCUCGAGCGCAGCGUGGUGUCCGGCGAACAAGUUCAAAUUGCGUCCCAACACCUUGUAUUGGAUGAGCCCUUUCGACAAACGUUUACACGUGUAUGACAUUGGAUUAAACAAGGAGGUAGUGCACGAGUGCGAAGGUACCACGUCGGAGCUAUCGCGCCCGCCGUUUUGGUUGGUUUCCGCACAUCAUCCGGGACCAAUUGAAUAA
rnacentral:rRNA from 1 species